GGAUCCAGACUUUGAUCCUGGCUCAGGAUGAACGCUAGCUACAGGCUUAACACAUGCAAGUCGAGGGGAAACGACAUCGAAAGCUUGCUUUUGAUGGGCGUCGACCGGCGCACGGGUGAGUAACGCGUAUCCAACCUGCCCAUCACUUGGGGAUAACCUUGCGAAAGUAAGACUAAUACCCAAUGACGUCUCUAGAAGACAUCUGAAAGAGACUAAAGAUUUAUCGGUGAUGGAUGGGGAUGCGUCUGAUUAGCUUGUUGGCGGGGUAACGGCCCACCAAGGCAACGAUCAGUAGGGGUUCUGAGAGGAAGGUCCCCCACAUUGGAACUGAGACACGGUCCAAACUCCUACGGGAGGCAGCAGUGAGGAAUAUUGGUCAAUGGGCGAGAGCCUGAACCAGCCAAGUAGCGUGCAGGAUGACGGCCCUAUGGGUUGUAAACUGCUUUUAUAAGGGAAUAAAGUGAGUCUCGUGAGACUUUUUGCAUGUACCUUAUGAAUAAGGACCGGCUAAUUCCGUGCCAGCAGCCGCGGUAAUACGGAAGGUCCGGGCGUUAUCCGGAUUUAUUGGGUUUAAAGGGAGCGUAGGCCGGAGAUUAAGCGUGUUGUGAAAUGUAGACGCUCAACGUCUGCACUGCAGCGCGAACUGGUUUCCUUGAGUACGCACAAAGUGGGCGGAAUUCGUGGUGUAGCGGUGAAAUGCUUAGAUAUCACGAAGAACUCCGAUUGCGAAGGCAGCUCACUGGAGCGCAACUGACGCUGAAGCUCGAAAGUGCGGGUAUCGAACAGGAUUAGAUACCCUGGUAGUCCGCACGGUAAACGAUGGAUGCCCGCUGUUGGUCUGAAUAGGUCAGCGGCCAGGCGAAAGCAUUAAGCAUCCCACCUGGGGAGUACGCCGGCAACGGUGCAACUCAAAGGAAUUGACGG
rnacentral:rRNA from 1 species